rnacentral:rRNA from 1 species
UACGUAGGGUGCAAGCGUUGUCCGGAAUUAUUGGGCGUAAAGAGCUCGUAGGCGGUCUGUCGCGUCGAAUGUGAAAACCCGGGGCUCAACCCCGGGCCUGCAUUCGAUACGGGCAGACUAGAGUUCGGUAGGGGAGUCUGGAAUUCCUGGUGUAGCGGUGAAAUGCGCAGAUAUCGUAAGGAAGACCAGUGGCGAAGGUGGGUCUCUGGACAGUUCCUGACGCUGAGGCACGAAGGCCAGGGGAGCAAACGGG